GAGGGUAUAGCUCAGUGGGAGAGCACGUGCUUAGCAUGCACGAAGUCUUGGUUCAAUCCCCAGUAACUCCA
rnacentral:tRNA from 1 species